GGGGGGAGGUCGGAUCCUGGCUGUGUCCCCCCACGCCCUGGGCUCUGGGGCCUGUGCUGUUGGAUUCGUGCUCCCCGCCAGAAGCCCCCU
rnacentral:pre_miRNA from 1 species